rnacentral:ncRNA from 2 species
UUCUUAUCGAGAGAGGCGGAGGGACAGGCCCGAUGAAGCCCGGCAACCGGCUCCAAUGUAAUUCGUUAUGAUGCGAAUGACAUUUUGGAGUGACAUGGUGCUAAUUCCUUCAAAGUAUAGGUGAAUGGCCUACUACUUUGACAGAUGAGAA